UCCCAGGUGGCUCAGUAGUAAAGCAUCUGCCUGCGAUGCAGGAGACCCGGAUUUGAUCCCUGGGUCGGGAA
rnacentral:tRNA from 1 species